rnacentral:rRNA from 1 species
AUGCAAGUCGAACGGAAACUUAUAGCAAUAUAAGUUUGAGUGGCGGAUGGGUGAGUAACGCGUAAGAAUCUACCUCAAGGACAGGAAUAACCUUUGGAAACGAUGGGUAAUACCUGAUAAUGGCUUCGGCCUAAAACGGGCAACCGCCUCGAGAUGAGCUUGCGUCUGAUUAUGCUAGUUGGAGAGGUAAAAGCUUAACAAGGCGACGAUCAGUAGCUGGUUUGAGAGAAUGAUCAGCCACACUGGGACUGAGACACGGCCCAGACUCCUACGGGAGGCAGCAGUGAGGAAUUUUUCGCAAUGGGCGCAAGCCUGACGGAGCAAUACUGCGUGGAGGAUGAAGGCUCGUGGGCUGUAAACUCCUUUUCCUAGAGAAGAAGUUCUGACGGUAUCUGGGGAAUAAGCAUCAGCUAACUGCGUGCCAGCAGCUGCGGUAAUACGUGGGAUGCAAGCGUUAUCCGGAUUUAUUGGGGGUAAAGCGUCUGUAGGUGGCUUCGCAAGUUUGUUGUUAAAUCAUUCAGCUUAACUGAAUUCAAGCAGCAAAAACUAUGGAGCUUGAGUGUGGUAGAGGAAGAGGGAAUUCCCUGUGGAGCGGUGAAAUGCGUAGAGAUAGGGAAGAACACCAAUGGCGAAAGCACUCUUCUGGGCCUGCACUGACACUGAGAGACGAAAGCUAGGGGAGCGAGUAGGAUUAGAUACCCUAUUAGUCCUAGCCGUAAACGAUGGAA